rnacentral:lncRNA from 1 species
CACCCUGCCUGGGGUUUCCUCUCCAUUCCAGCUUUUCUGCCUUUCUGAAGAGCCAGCUCACUGCCCUGGAUACCCAAGGGUAGCCAUGGGCCCUGCCCAAGAUGCCGCUAUCCCUGAGACAGGGUGGCCAGGAAGAGAGCCCCGAGGAGAAGGACCUGGUAGGAGCAGGGGGAAGCCCUGAGGAGCUGGGUGAAGAUUUCCUGGCACAAGUCCUGGGGAAGGGCCCCAGACAGCAGUUCCUCAAUUCCCAGGGUAUAGAGGGUGGAGUCUCUGAAAGGCCACGGGGUGGAGACCCUGGCAUGAUUCAACAUUCACUCAACAAAAUAUUUAUUGAGCGCCUGCCAAUGCUAGACCCACAUGCUGGCCAGCAUCCCUGCCUGUGCAAGCUCUGGAUGAGCUGUGUGCCCCUGCCACCCACACCCCCACUCCCUGCCAGCCUGGCCUCAGGGCCUCUGAUCCAUGUGCACUGGAGUGGUGAUGACUGACAGGGCCACUGGGGCAUUUCCAUGUUAACAGCAGCUGCCACUGGCAAAAGAAGUGACUCGCCAAUGGUGGCAUCUCAGAUGUGGGCCCAGGAGUCUGGGGAGCUACUUUGAACAGGGCUAUCCAUUCAUUGUCCCACCAAAGGCUAUGGAGCCCACCCACCAUGUGCUGGAGUAGUCAAGGGAAAUAAGACACUCUCCUUGUCCUUGUUAACUCAAUCAACAAGCAUUUGCAGAGCACCGCCUGUAUGCCGGCGCUGUCCGAAGUGCUGAAGAUACAGCAAUGAGCAAACCAAAAGCCAUGGACAUCGGAUGAAACAGAGAAUUGUAAACAAUAAGUACAUCAUUUAGCUCUAUGGAAAACAGGAUAGAGAUUUCUCAAAGAACUAAAACUAGAACUACCAUUCAACCAGCAAUCCCACCACUGGGCAUCCACCCAAAGGAAAAGAAGUCAUUUAAUCAAAGAGACACCUGCACUCGUGUGUUCAUCGCAGCAACACUGUUCACAACAGCAAAGCCAUGAAAUCAACCUAAGUGUCCAUCAACAGAUGAUGGAUAAAGAAAAUGUGGUGAAUAUAUACACAGUGGGAUACUACGAAGCCAUAAAAAAGAACACAAAACCAUGUCUUUUGCAGCAAUGUGGAUGGAACUGGAGGCCAUUAUCUUAAGCGGAACAAGUCAAACACAGAAAGACAAAGAUUGCAUGUUCUUAUUUAUUUAUUUACUGAGAUGGAGUCUCACUGUGUCACCAGGCUGGAGUGCAGCGGUGCAAUCUUGGCUCACUGCAGCCUCCACCUCCCGAGUUCAAGCAAUUCUCCUGCCUCAGCCUCCCAAGCAAUUCUCCUGC